AGGGACUAUCUUCCCAUUUAGGAAAUAAAACUGAAGAAAGAAGCCAGGAAUUAUGAGAGGUAGAAAUGAUGAAGAUCAUGGGGACCAAACAGGAUAAAGUCUUGGAGAUGAAGAUGGGAACUGGAGUGUUUUAUAGGAUAGAAGAAAAACUUUGCAGGAAAAACAAAUAGGAUUUGGUUAUCACCCAGGCACUUUGGCUUGGUGGAGUCUCAUUGAACAGCUACAUUAUCCCUCAAAGGAAGAAAUUGUAGAAGAUGAUGGCAACUCUUUGGCAGAAAUUAAGACAGUGGCAGCUUCAAGAGUGGUGGUUGCCUUGAAGGUCACUCUAACUGCAUUUAAAUCUUUCUUAAAUAAUGUCAUCUGAGGAAUUUUCCCACUAGUGCAGGAAUCUGUGGGAGAAUAUCUUCCUUUGUACAAGGGAGUUGGAAAAUUAAUCUGCUACUUGGGUUUCUUUUGUUAUUUACUUUACUAUUCUUGCCUAUUAAAAUGAUUUGCUCUUGCCUGGUACAUAAGGCACUAAAGUUUGAACCUUUUUUUUACAAUUAUGAUUAUGGAAAACACUUUAUAUAAACUAUACACUGAGAAGGUGGAGCACCAGUUUCAGAUUAGAGUGGAAUCUUUAAAUACCCAGACAGACAAGUAGUUGGUUGGGCAGGAGCUGCCCUGACUAGUCAAGUGGCUCAGAUGAAAUGAAGCAUUUGUAGCGCAUUUAACAAUUAGUUAUAGCAGAAGGAUAUUUAAGGAGGAUACAGUGUUGAUUCAGCUGAGCAAAACUUUCCUACACCAAGUGGGUCAGCUUGGUCCAAGGUCAGAAUGCAAAGGGAGGGGUGGAAGUUUCUACAUCUGUCCCUUUUUGUACUCAGGCAACUAGGAAGCUACUACAAGUGGUCAGCGCCUUAGUCCAGAGCCAAUUAAUUCUCUGGGACAAUUUCAAUGCCUUUUAAGGAAAAGAACUACCCCCCUCCCCUUCUCCUGCCCCAGGCCUCCUUGGGAGAAAGGCAACAGUGUCUUUGUUGAAUAUAAGAGUCAUAAGAGGGGACGAAAAACUUUGAGUCAAAAGUUUGGAACCUGUAAGAAUUUGAGAUUACCCUAGGCAGAAGGGCAAGAGGAAUGAAUUUUGGGGUAAAUCCCACUAAUUCCAAUAGCACUUUAAAUUCCUAGACACUUAUUUCCAAUUUUACAUAUCUGUAAGUAGGUCUAAUCUCCUCUAAAAGAUGUAAUCUCCAAAAGACUAAGUUCCUUGAGGGUAAGACGAAGUAUUACUCAUGUAGACACUGUCGAGGAGAAUGAUUACUAAAUGUAAUUCAAUUCAAAUAUUUAAGGGCCUACUGUGUGCCAGACACUAAACUAAGCCCUGGGGAGCCAAAAGCAAAAAUGAAAAGUUCCUGCCCUCAAAACAUCUAUUUGAAGAAGGAAAGAAUGUAAUCUCACUCAACCUUUAUUUUUAGACACUCCCUAGGGUGGCUUAUUUGUUGCCAAUCCUGGCCUCAGCCUUUUCACUCAUUCCUUUCCAACAGAAUCACGUUACUGACUUCUUUUUGUCUCUGAACAUCCUGUUCUUUCUUCUCUCCCUUUGAAUUUCCCCAGACCUCCAACCAGCGACUGGCCUACUCUAGCUUGCAUUUCCUUUUUUUUUUUUGGUAGGGGAGAAAGGAUUAUGGCUGCUCCCGGGAUUUCAUUAUUGUAGAAAAUUCUAAUAGUGCAAGGCGACAAUUUCCUUGACACUAUCAGAAAAUUGCCUAGAGCAUUAGUUUAGACUGGCCAGGCAGUCAUUAAAUGACUAGUCGGAGAGCCUACGGCCUGUAUAAUGCUUGUAGUAGAACUUGAAUCCAAACCUUGCCUUCGGCGCCAUCUUUCUAUUUAUUAACUGCAUUUUACUUUUAACCAAUUUAACCAUAGAAUUUAAAUACAUUUAUACAUACAUAAAUACAUUAAAAAACAAAAGCAAUAAAUAUUACAUACAUGUACUGGACA
ensembl:lncRNA